UUCUAAAAGUAUAUAAAAACUAAAAGUAUAUAAAAAGAGGG
rnacentral:tRNA from 1 species